AUUGAACGCUGGCGGCAGGCUUAACACAUGCAAGUCGAGCGGAGUGAUGGUGCUUGCACUAUCACUUAGCGGCGGACGGGUGAGUAAUGCUUAGGAAUCUGCCUAUUGGUGGGGGACAACAUCUCGAAAGGGAUGCUAAUACCGCAUACGUCCUACGGGAGAAAGCAGGGGAUCACUUGUGACCUUGCGCUAAUAGAUGAGCCUAAGUCGGAUUAGCUAGUUGGUGGGGUAAAGGCCUAACAAGGCGACGAUCUGUAGCGGGUCUGAGAGGAUGAUCCGCCACACUGGGACUGGGACACGGCCCAGACUCCUACGGGAGGCAGCAGUGGGGAAUAUUGGACAAUGGGGGGAACCCUGAUCCAGCCAUGCCGCGUGUGUGAAGAAGGCCUUAUGGUUGUAAAGCACUUUAAGCGAGGAGGAGGCUCUUUUGGUUAAUACCCAAGAUGAGUGGACGUUACUCGCAGAAUAAGCACCGGCUAACUCUGUGCCAGCCGCCGCAGUAA
rnacentral:rRNA from 1 species